AUGACAGGAUCCAACUCGAGUGUACAUGGACAUCAACAUGUGGAAGAUGAUCUCCCAAAAACUCGCGCAGCACUUGGUGAUAUGAUUGAGGAGAGUAUAGUUGCAGCUAUGCAAAGGAUGUUCGGUGGUCGUCUUCCUAUCGCGGGUAAUGGGGAUCAAAAUCAACACAGCCCCGCUGUCUCGCUAGCCGCCGACAACCGGCAACGUCAAGAACACAACGAUCGCCAUGUUGGUCGUGGAAGAGCGGCAGGAGCUGCUGCCCACGGCGCCCCUGCUGUUGGUGUUGAACGGAGGCGUGGCGAGUUUGCUGCCCUCCGUGAGGGUGGGCUACAUGGAGGAGAAGCUCGCGGGCGAGGCCACGACCCCCGCGGGUUUGCUGCUGAUCACCGGUGA
rnacentral:rRNA from 1 species